GACGAACGCUGGCGGCGUGCUUAACACAUGCAAGUCGAACGGAAAGGCCCUGCUUUUGUGGGGUGCUCGAUUGGCGAACGGGUGAGUAACACGUGAGUAACCUGCCCUUGACUUUGGGAUAACUUCAGGAAACUGGGGCUAAUACCGGAUAGGAGCUCCUGCUGCAUGGUGGGGGUUGGAAAGUUUCGGCGGUUGGGGAUGGACUCGCGGCUUAUCAGCUUGUUGGUGGGGUAGUGGCUUACCAAGGCUUUGACGGGUAGCCGGCCUGAGAGGGUGACCGGCCACAUUGGGACUGAGAUACGGCCCAGACGCCUACGGGAGGCAGCAGUGGGGAAUAUUGCACAAUGGGCGGAAGCCUGAUGCAGCAACGCCGCGUGCGGGAUGACGGCCUUCGGGUUGUAAACCGCUUUCGCCUGUGACGAAGCGUGAGUGACGGUAAUGGGUAAAGAAGCACCGGCUAACUACGUG
rnacentral:rRNA from 1 species